rnacentral:lncRNA from 1 species
ACAGAGUUUCACUCCUGUUGCCCAGGCUGGAGUGCAGUGGUGUGAUAUCGGCUUACUGAAACCUCUGCCUCCUGGCUUCAAGUGAUUCUCCUGCCUCAGCCUCCGAAGUAGCUGGGAUUCCAGGCACCCGCCACCACUCCUGGCUAAUUUUCUGUGUUUCGUAGAGAUGGAGUUUCACCAUGUUAGUCAGGCUGGUCUCGAACUCCUGACCUCAGGUGAUCUACCCGCCUUUGGCCUCCCAAAGGGCUGGGAUUACAGAUCCACAUAGAAAUAAUCUAAUAUCUAUUCUACGAGGAAAUUCCUUAAAUAUUUGAAGACACAGUUUGGGUUUCUCUCCAGCCUCAAAGUUUUAAAUUCUUUCACUAUUCUGGUUGCUACACAGUUUCUUUCCA